rnacentral:tRNA from 1 species
UGUUCUGUGGUAAAGUUGGUUAACGCGCCCAGUCUAGCGUAUUGGAAGUCGUGGGAUCGAAGUCCACCAGAACGA